GACGGAGGAUGCAAGCGUUAUCCGGAAUGAUUGGGCGUAAAGCGUCCGCAGGUGGCAGUUCAAGUCUGCUGUCAAAGACCGGGGCUUAACUUCGGAAAGGCAGUGGAAACUGAACAGCUAGAGUAUGGUAGGGGCAGAGGGAAUUCCUGGUGUAGCGGUGAAAUGCGUAGAGAUCAGGAAGAACAUCGGUGGCGAAGGCGCUCUGCUGGACCAUAACUGACACUCAGGAACGAAAGCUAGGGGAGCGAAUGGG
rnacentral:rRNA from 1 species